AUGAAACCAUCAAACAUCCAGGCAGGGCCUGUUUAUCUCUGGGCAGAAAUCUGUUCAAUUCCAUGAUAAAACAAGGUUUGGAAUCAGGGAUUCAAUUUCACAAACUAAACAAACAUGUGUGUACACACGUGCACACUGUGCAUCUCCCAGUGCACACACGCGCAACCCGUUUCGCAGGGUCCCAGCACAAUUGUCUCUGUAGGAAAAACGCUCAGUCUUGCUGAUUUGUGGCCCUUUCUCCGGUUUGCAUCAGGUUGGGCCUCAUAACACAGGACUGGCCUAGGCAUUAGGUCGGAGCUGGAAUAUGCCAAGCUCUUCCCCAUCCCUUCCCCAUUCCCAGGGCUGAGUAGUGGUUAGAAGGGUGAGCACAACACACCCAGAUACUUACCCCCUCUAUGUCUUCUGCCUUUCCUCUUUCCGCUGUGGGCAUUUCUUCUUAGAGUAGCCUUCUGAUCAUGCUCGCUGGUUGUCCGCUUCUUAAGACUGGCCAUGUUUCACAAUUCCUCCAAUUGCCUUACUUCCCCUAAGGCUCUCCCUUUUCCAGGAUAUCUCAUUGAUGCCUGUGCUAGAGUUUUCCAGAGAAACAGGACCAAUAGCAUAUAUAGAAAUAGACGGAAAGAGAUUUAUGAUGAGGGAUUGGUUAAAAUAAUGGUGGACACAGAGAAGUCCCACAAUCUGCCACCUGAGAGCUAGAGGCCCAGCAAAGCUGCUGGUGUUGUUCUAGUCCAAGCCCAGAGGCCUGAGAACCAGGACCACUGAUGUGCAAGGACAGAUGAAGACGGGCGUCUCAGGAGAAGCAGAAAGGAAAUUCACCCAUCCUCGCCUUUUUGUUCUAGUCAAGCCCUUAACAGAUUGCCUGGUGUCCGCCUACAUUGGUGAGGGUGAUCUUCUUCGCUCAGCGUACUGAAUCAAAUGCCAGACUCUUCCAGAAGGACCUUCACAGCUUCGACAGUGUGGUAGCAGGUAUCCUGAAGGUGCUGCCUCUGACACCUCCUGGAAAUUCUGUGUGCACGACUACAAGCAUUAUUUGAAUGCUUGGCUGAGUUCAGGAGAGGGACUCUGCAGCAGCCAGAGUGAAGAACAAAGUGUUGAGAGAUACUGGGAGGACACAGGAAUGCAGAGGACAGGGAUGCUUUUCUAAUUUGUGCAUCAGGGGAUUGGGGGCACUCACCACAGGAGACAGAAGUUGGGUCCUUGAAUCCUUGGGUCAGAAAUCAAAACUUACUCAUAUCUUCUGCUCCACCCAACUAAGCCUGGCCCUGGCUGGGUCACACCCUCACUGAAAAGUAUGCAAGAAAAAAACCUGCCUGCUAGGUCAGGGGGCUGGAAUGAAUUCCAGGCUGUGUCUACGUGGAUGUCAGUGAGGUCUGAGUGAAAUACAGGCUGCAGGAACUUCCCUGAAUGUUUGUAACCAUGGACCUAACUCAUAAAGGAUCAGGGUUGGAACUGAGAUGAUCAAGGCUGUGAACCCAAGUGCACCUGGUGGAAACACACACAAACCACUCCUGAAAAAUGAACUCUCCAGCAUCCCCACACCCCAAAUUCAUGUGGAGCAAUAUGCUUAAAAUGCGUAAAGACAUUUAAAAAAGGAAAUAUAGUUAUCAGAAAAGACAGAGGAUGCUUCAAAAAUACAAGAUAGAUUUUAGAAAAAAUUAAAUGGAACGUGUUAAAAAUGUGAUCAUUGAAACUGGGAUAAUUCAAAUGAGAGGAACAGCACAUAGGAUGCCCAUAAAAAAAUUAAUGGGUAGUAGAAUAGAUUAGAAUCAUUUACCCCACAUCGAACAAAAAGAGAUACAGAGAUUUUAUCUCUGUUUACCUGUUAGAAACCUACCUCUAAUUAGAGGACCAAAGAAACAAAACAGACAAAAGUGGAAGAAAGGCAAUAUUCAUAGAAAUAAUAAAUAUUUUUCCCACAACUUAUGAAAGAAUGGAGUCUGGAGAAUCAGGAAUUUCAGUAAGUCCUAAGAAAAAUAAGUCCCACUGAGUACAUACCUAAACUCAUUGCAGUGAAACUGCAUGCUACCCAAUACAAGACAUGAUUAAACACACACACACACACACACAGACACACACACGCGCGCGCAUGCGCCGAGAAAAAACAGACUCCCAAUAAAGAAAAAAAAUUAGUCUGAAAGUAGACUUCUCAACAGUCAUCAGGGAGGCUGGGGUUUACCUUGACUGCCUAAAUUAAAGUCCAUUCCCAAGGACAUCUCAAAUGACCAAGUAACCAGUCCCUGCUUGUUUACAGAGUGCGAAAGUUGUUUAGAUUUGCAAUGAACCACCUCUCUACCUCCACCUCACUGAGCUCUGAGGCAAAUGGAUUUCCCUAUUAUAAACUAGGAAUGAGUGUCUGAAAGAAGCCUUUUCUGAUUCCCUGCAAAAGUUCAUUCAUCAGGAGGAAGGGGAGUCAUCCCAGCCUUCACCACCUGUGGAACGCAGCAACCUCACUGUGGAAGACACCAGUAGCCUGUUCCUCCCAAGAAUGAGCCGCAGAGGGUGUUGCCCGCAGCAGGAGGGAGCCGAUUCUCAUCAGAGAACAAAGUGACUUGAUGAAUUCUACAUUUUAAAGAGCCUGGACGCAGCUGACCAUAAUGUUUAUUCAAUCAAUGCUGGGAAGGAAGCUAACAUUCAAAGGUGCUUUGCUCUGCUUGCCUCCAGGACUGGGGCAGGAGAAUGCCUUGUAGAGUGUGCUUUAUGCUAUUAUGGUCAAACUGGCAUAGUCAGCCAAAAGAGAGGCGCCCACAUAGAUCCCCCAGAAGAAGUCACUGAUGUCAAGGUGGCAAAGUGUAAGAAAGACAGAACCAAUCUGGGUCAACUGGGUUAGACAGAGAUCAGCUCUGCACUCCUAAGGCCAUGGGAACCUGUUCCUGAAUCUGUGGAGCGUCAAUUUUCUGUUCUACUCUGAGUCCUACCAUAAUUAGAAGCAUCAUUAUGUGGAAAGGAAUUCCCAGCAGUUCCUAAACAUCCUUCUCCUCCUUUAACAAAUAAAGACAUAUGCAUCUUGCAUUAAUACUGUGGAAUAAAUAAUGAAUUAUAAAUGGAAUAGAAAUUAUAAUACAGUGAUAUGAUGUCUGCACAGAUUUUUAUGGUCCCCGGAGUCAGUCCCUUUAGAGAUGUACAUUAUUUUCUCUAUUUAAAGAUAUUCACAACUCUUUGUUAAUCCAGCUCACCAUACUCAUCUAGGGACACUGGGAGGGAAAAUGUAUUUGGAAUUCUAUGGGCUCCAUUCUUCCAUUGCUUUUCAAUUAGAGACACCAUUCGUCUUGUGUGUUUUAUCUCUUGGAGCGUUCUCCCAUGUGCUGCUGGAAGAUAACACUCUUUUCAGGUCUCUGAAGUUGCUGGGUUUUACUACGUGUCUCCUAACACCCAUAGGUGUAUGUAAUCUCACUGUAACAGAAUGUUGUCAUGUCUUGUUGACUAAUUAAGCACCCUCGUUCCAAAGCUCAGCAGCUGAAAGUUCAAGUGUUAAAUGGUGGGAUAGUGAAUCCAGGAGGCAGUGAAUGAGGAGGCGACUCGGGCCCUAGCUGGGAUUUUACUUCUUGCUCUUCUGUUGUAUUAUUUUGUCUCUGUUUUGCCACAUGCUGCUUGGUUGAAGACGCCAGGAGGCUCGACACAGAGCCAAAUAUAUUGCCCAAACGUGAGAUUAAAAAUUAGAUCAUAUGUGAUAAAAGACAGCAAUUUAUUUUAGCUUGGUGUUACAUCAGGAAAGUAUGAAAAAAUACAAUCAAUUUAUUUGCUUACUCACACAACCAAUACUGAGUGUCUGCUAUGUGCUAGACACAGGAAACAAAUACCAGGUCUAAAAUGAUCCAUAAGACAAGAUUCUUGCUCUUGAAAUACACAAUCCAUUGGGAGAGAAAGACAAGUAGUAGAAGAUUAUAGGACAGCAUCAUGAGAAUUGGGAGAAGGACUUGUUGAAUUCAGGGAAGGUGGCAUUUGAGCAGUGUAAGGGACCUGUUGGAUGAACAGUGGGAAUUGAAGUAGGAGGAAAACAGAAUUUAGAAGAUCAUGAAGGACUUCCCAUUCUGCAGCAAAAACUUGGGCUUUUACUCAAGGACUUGAGGAGCUGUUGAAGAUUUCAACUGAGAAGCUUCGAGAGGAACCUUGAGACUGAGCUAGUGCCCCUCAAUGGCUGUGUGAAAGGAUGGACUCAAUGGGAGGAAAGAAUCAAACAAGCUGAGAGGACUCUAAAGAAAAAGAAAAGAGGCACUGAAAGACUGGGCUAAACAGUGAUGAUAGGCUCUCAAGUUAUGGAAGAAGCAUGUAAAUGGGGCUGAGCAGGUCGCUGGAGUAAGGAGAGUUGGAGUCUGCUUUGGCUACCUUGCAUGGAAAUGAUGCUGGUUGUUAAACCAAGGAAUACAGGAAAAAAGACACUGUUUAGAGAUGACAUCAUGAUUUCAGUGUGAGUCAAUUUCAGUUUGAGGCACCAAUGAGACACGCAGGAGGAGUGGGCUGGUUAACCACCCACCAGUGCCCAGAGCUCAAGAGGAAUGUCAGGGCUGGGAUGAAGGUAAGUCAGAAACAUUC